GAUGAACGCUAGCGGCAGGCUUAACACAUGCAAGUCGAGGGGUAGAGGUUGCUUGCAACCUUGAGACCGGCGCACGGGUGCGUAACGCGUAUGCAACCUACCUUUUACAGAGGGAUAGCCCAGAGAAAUUUGGAUUAAUACCUCAUAGUAUAUAACCUUCGCAUGUUGGUUAUAUUAAAGUUCCAACGGUAAAAGAUGGGCAUGCGUCCUAUUAGCUAGAUGGUAAGGUAACGGCUUACCAUGGCUACGAUAGGUAGGGGUCCUGAGAGGGAGAUCCCCCACACUGGUACUGAGACACGGACCAGACUCCUACGGGAGGCAGCAGUGAGGAAUAUUGGACAAUGGGCGCAAGCCUGAUCCAGCCAUGCCGCGUGCAGGAAGACGGUCCUAUGGAUUGUAAACUGCUUUUGUACGGGAAGAAACACUCCUACGUGUAGGAGCUUGACGGUACCGUAAGAAUAAGGAUCGGCUAACUCCGUGCCAGCCGCCGCGGUAACAC
rnacentral:rRNA from 1 species